rnacentral:rRNA from 1 species
CGCCCUCCCUCCGGCCCGCCACUACAGACUCCUACGGAGGCAGCAGUAAGGAAUAUUGGUCAAUGGACGCAAGUCUGAACCAGCCAUGCCGCGUGGAGGAUGAAGGCCCUCUGGGUUGUAAACUUCUUUUUAAUCUGGGAAGAAACCCAUCCUUUUCUAAGGUGGUUGACGGUACCAGUUGAAUAAGCACCGGCUAACUCCGUGCCAGCAGCCGCGGUAAUAC